rnacentral:lncRNA from 1 species
UGGCUUUAGGUUGUCACCAGAAGGGACACUCUGGAAAGCCACCAAGCUGUGCUUGUGCUUCACACCCUCCAUUUAUGACAGACAACCUGCUUCAGGAUGAGGUAGCCGCAGCCUAUUUGGCCACUGGAAAAUAACAGAAAAAAAAAAUCCUGCAAUGUUGCAUAAAAGCCAUGGCGCACCCAGGCCUGAAGAGUGGUUUGCAAGCUGCUGGGUUUCCUCAGGCGCUGGCAAGGUUAAAGCCCCAAUUUCGUUUCUAUGAAGAUUCCAGCCUCCUGUUCCUCAACUCCUGUCAGCUUCAUCUUCACAUCCAGUACUCCAGCCUAACUGGACCAAGCAGAGCUCAUCCAUCAGACCCCCAUGCAGAGGGCCAGAAUGCUCUGCUGCCUCACAUCCUACUACCUCCAAACGUCCCUGACUCCACCAUACCCUGGGUCUCAGGUGUACGAGCUCCUAGAGGCCAGAGACAUUGUCUGAAGAAACAGUCUGUGUCCCUUCUGAUUGUCCUUUCAGAAUCAAAUGUCAUUAACACAAACUAGUGCCUUAUUAUAAUCUCC